CACAGUAAGUGAUUUUGGCAUGUGACAGCUCUGGCAUGGGGGAUGGGGCCUCUAUUGCUAAUGGACAGAAUAUCACAAACAGUCUGCAUGUUAACGACAACUUCAUUUUGGAGCCAGGAAUUGUGAGUGAUGAUGGUUUGCUGCCAGGCAUGGAAUUUUAAAUGGUGAAGAAACAUCCUCAACGUAAUUAGUCAUCCAUUGUUACACAUGGCAUUCUAUCUGCUACUGUCCAAAGUGAUAUAACAUUCUCAAAGGCAGCAUGAAAACUAUCCAUACACACUGCCGUGAUGCCAGAAAUUGAGAAGCAGGACCAAGGGUAGAGGGG